AGUCCCGGCUAGGGACACAGCUCUUAGACUUUGAGCUAGACAACCAGGAGGACAGGAGGACCUAGUAUCCUGCCUCCAUCAGCCCAUCAUUUAUGCAAAUGCUACUUAGUUGCCGUCUAGAUGCAGGAUGCUGUCUGCCCUGUUAAAUGCUGUGUGAACCCAGAUGGAAGCUGAGCAGACAUCACACUCGUGAGCAGCUCCCCUUCCUGUGAGCAUCUCCCCUUCCUAUGCUGAGAUUAAAGGCAUGUGCCAUCACCACCUGAACAACAGCAGCUUUCUAAGGAACCAGUAAGGCACUACAGACUUUUCAUAUAACAUCACCUUCAUUCUCUCACAACUAAUUCUACAAAACAGAUGUUAUACGACCUCGUUCGCUGAAGUCAAAGAUGCAGAGGGGCCAAGGUGUGGGCUCCGGACCUCACACCAGUGUGGCAGAUUCAACAAGCCCAGAAUAAGCCUCUUCCUUUGCUCACAAUAAGAUUAAGCCAACUGCCUCUUCAUUCCUCAGUCACACUCCUCCUCUGACCCUGCUCCAGGAGGCUCAUCUUGUCAGACUUCACACUGAAUGAGCGCUGAGGAUGCUGUAGAGUAUGAGCUGUGUGCAGGAUUGCUAUCUUCUGGUCCUGUACUCCUCAAGCUCAAAGGCCAACGUCCUGGCAUUUGUGUGACGGCUUUUGCCCUACCCUGCAGAAUUUGCAAUAGGCAGUCUCUACAUGUACUCAGGGCCCAGUGGGCAUUCAACAUGUUCAUUGAAUGACAACUUUGGUGACAAGUUCCUUAUUUGCACAUAUGCUUUUGAGAUGUUUGCAACCAUUCUCCACCCCAGCCGGGUUCCCAUGUGGCCAUCUGGAAGUGAGCACACCAAACAGUCUUCAAAUAUCAUUCCAACCCCCUUCCUGUCUAAAUGUCCAAUACCAUUUGCUGAGACUGAAAAGAACGGAACCCACAGCUGUCCCCAGAGCUCAGUCACUUUGUGGUCUUGCUGGGAGCCACCACCAAUUGGCAGGACUCUUCCUGAUCAAACCCUAGAUGCUCUACCUUCCAGAUCUGAAGACUUUUUGACCCAGAUCCAAGUCUGAAAGCUCCUAUCUGCACAUAAUGUUUCAAAAGCAAUUUGUGCCCCUGAAACAAGCCAACCAGCAGAGAAGGAACAAAAGAAACAUGGUGUCUUCUACCUCCAGCCUUGAAGCUUCCAGACCUCCCUACACGAACCCCCCCCCCACACCCACUCCCCGAAAUGAUGUCCCAGUGAAGAGCCAGGCUCUUAUCCUUCCAUCCAUGCCUCUCAGGCGUCUGCUUCAUUUAGCAUGUAUGUGCAUUUUACCAGGUUAAUGCAACACAGACUAUUUCCUAGUAGCUGUGAAGCCCAGUGUAGCCUCUGCUGCCGGACACAUGGUUUGUCUCCAGUCUUUCCCUUCCCAGCAAAGCAGCCUUGACUCAUCUCCUUUCUCUAUGACAGAGCCCUUUAGAAUGUACUCACUGGGCCAACGAUGCAGUUUCAAUUUGGGUUUUUAAUGGAAGUGGGUGGCUAGGUAAGUGGGUUGAAUGACUGACUGAUUCUGAAUAGCUCUGAAUUUAUUGAGCUGCUUCCAGGAAGGUCCAGGUGACCUGGGUAGCAGAAAGGACACCCAUUCCUGUUUGAUGGUGUUUUUUUUCUAUCUAUCAUCCUUCCUGUCUUUCCUUCUUUAUUUCUUUCUGGGUGAGACAGGGUCUUAUAAUACAGUUUCAGCCAGCCUGGAACUCAUUAUGUAAACCAGGCUGGUCUCCAGCUCAUGGAGAUGAGCCUGCCUUUGCUUCCCAUGUACUGAAAUUAAAGCCCAGCUUGUUUUUUUCUCUUUACCACACUGGGGAUUCAACCCAAGGCUAGUAAGCACCCUGGCACUGAGUAUAUUCUGGACCUCUUCUUAUUUUAAUGUUGAUGUAGGGUCCUGCUAAGUUUCCCAGACUGACCUUCAACUCACUAUGCAAGUCCAGGCAGGCCUUGAACUCACGAUCCUCCUGGUUCAGCUUCCUGAGCUGAUGAGUGGCAGGCACCAUUAGUCUCAUUCGGAAGGAUGUGCUUCAUCCUUGGUGAAAGCGCUCAUCUCUUGUCUUGGCUGGCUAGAAUUUCCAGGGUGAAGAAAGGAGGAUUAGAAAAGUUCAAGGUCACCCUCCCCUACAUAGAGAGUUCAAGGCCAGGCUGGGCCACAUGAGAAAAACCAAAAGAACAGAUGGUGUUAGCAGGAGGUAGGGAAGGAGUAGGGAGGUCCAGCCCUGGGUGGGGCAGAGCCCCUGCUAAAGACAAGGGACAUUCCUUAGUGUCAACUUUCCCUUAGGAUGGAGAGGAGGGGUUGCUAGCUCGUCACACCCCACAGCCCUGGAGGACAGGAGCUUACUGUUGAGUUAGUGGGGCAGAGUCGGGGAGAGGCUGUCAUUUCGGCAGCCCUGGUACAUGGAGCCACUAGCAGGCUUCUUCGUCUCAUGUCUUCAUCCGCACCACCUCCUAGCAGCCUGCCCUCCCCAACUUGUCCACUUAAAGCCUGGGCCAGUGAGAUGACUCUGCAGAUAAAGGUAUUGUCACCCAGCCUGAGGACCUGAGUUCAAUUUCUGGGUUCCAUAUGAUGGAAGGAGAGAACUGAGUCCCUUAACUUGAUCUCUAACCUGCACAUGUGGAUUGUGAAUGGGCUUAUGUGCCCACACACCCUCUCUCUCACACAAUAAACAUAAGUAAUAAAUGUAUACAUGCAUAUACACAUACAUAAUACACACAUACAUACAUGCUUGAAUGCAUACAUACGUUCGUAUGUAUGUCCUUGCCACUCUCUUGGAACCUGACUCCUACAGAAUGUAACCUUGAUUUGUGCUCCAGGCUCACUUGACACCUGGCUUCUGUGGCUUGUUCGAGUCCUCUGUCUCCCAGACAAUGAGCUAGGAUUCUGGUCAUUCAGGUUCAGCCUGGGUGCAGAGAGUUUUGAGUGGGCCUGUCCACUGGAGACCACUCCUCUCGUCACCCAUGAAGCAUCUAAAGUUAAGUAUGAUGGUGCAGACCUGGAAUCCCAGAAUUCAGGAGGUGGGGGCAGGGAUUUCUAAACUCAGAAGUCAGCCUGAGCUAUCUAGAGAGAUGCUGUUUCAAAAAUUUAAAACAGCCGGGUGUGGUGGCACACGCCUUUAAUCCCAGCACUCGGGAGGCAGAGGUAGGCGGAUUUCUGAGUUCGAGGCCAGCCUGGUCUACAAAGUGAGUUCCAGGACAGCCAGGGAUAUACAGAGAAACCCUGUCUCGAAAAACCAAAAAUAAAAAAUAAAUAAAACAAAACCGAA
rnacentral:lncRNA from 1 species